rnacentral:ncRNA from 1 species
AAAACGACUCUUUUAAGAGUCACCAAAUUCAUUAAUUAAAAGUAUU